rnacentral:lncRNA from 1 species
AUGCAGUUGAAUAAAUGGAGUUGUGGCCUAUUUAAGCUAUAUCUCUGUGUAAUUUUUUUUUUUCUCUUUUUUUUACUCAGGAAAAUUGAUCUUUCUGCACUAGGAAGAAACUUGUCGGUGCAGGACUUUCUCAGAGGCUGGUUUCAAGGACUCAAUUGGACGAUACAUUUAUCUUCUUGGAUGGUGAAUAUAAUAAGCUGAAGUGAAUAUAAUACGAAGUUACAGAGAAGUCUUCUGAUCACCCAGCUAUGAAAAGCACCAUGACUGGUUCUGCCCAGAAGCUGCAUGAAUACAUGUGGAGCAGAAAAGUUGCUCUUUAUAGCCAGCUGUAAAAUUCUUUCAAGCCCUGUGAACGUUCAGCAUGAGAAGGCUUUUCUCGCUGGCAUUUUUUGAGAUAUAGAUUAACUUCAGCAUACCACCCUUCAGCAGUAUGCAUGAGUCAAGAUUACCCUCCAAGCUUACGCUAUAUGGAUGAAACUCAAAGUCAGCCAGUCCGUUUCAAGAACAAAAGCAGUGUUUGGUUCCACUCAGCUGCCAGAGAACAUGCUCCAGAUUUGACAAACGUUGCAGUUAUUUGCAUUUGUGAGUUUAGUGCACAGUGCAAAUGCUGUAAAAUGUUUUUCACAUGAUGCAAUAUUGCCAGCAGAUAAUCACUGGAGCAUUAAAAGAAAUCUGUGUAGAAAUUUGUGUAUAUCCUACAAGCUGCAGGAGGAUAAGAAAAAGUAAACAGAAACUACGAGCUGAAUUUUUCAGAUGAUGCCAUUCCUUCUCUUGCGUUUAACUGAUCUGUUUUUAAAUGUUACAUUUUGUCUGUUUCUCUAGGACCUGAUUAGAAAAUCCUAAACCAGUGUGGAAAUGCUUUUUUGUUUCUGUCCUAGUUUUGACUGUGUGAAUUUUUCAGAACAUUUUCAGUUUAAUUAUGCAGCACUAAAAAUUGCAAUUAAACUGAAUUUGCAAUGGAAACUGCUCAUUUUAGUUAACUGUCAAAUUUACUGUUGCAUUGUGAAAUCGAGGCCUUUAUUAUUGUGAGGUGUUUUGGAAAAAAUUACUUUUUAAACAGGGGAAAAAUGUCAAAUCUUUCAGUUCUAUCACAAUGAGCUACUGAUUUAAAGAGAAACCCAAACAAUGAAGCUAGUAACUCUUUAAACACAGUGGAAUCUUUUCCAGGUGGUGUCUUGAAUUAGUUGGAUAAUGCAAGUAUGGACAGUAUUGAAUGAAAUCUUUUUCUGCAUCUUUAAUCUGUUUUAUGAAGUGCAUCUUCAAAAUGCAGGUAGGAGGUAAUGUUGCUUUAAAAGAACCUUGCAAUACCUUGUUUUAGGGAUAUCUGACGUGGCCUGUUUUGCAGGAUGCUAUGACGUGUUUUGAUGGAUACUGUGUAUUAUAUGAGACUGUACAAAUCUUAAUAUCUUUGUUCCUCUGUUUUAGCUUGUGAUGUACAGCUCUGUGUACAUGGAGCAUCUCAGACUAGUGUCUGAGACUACCCUUUUCCUCUAAGCCCUAGGCAUUUUUAUCACUGUGCCAAUAAAAGGAAAGGGAUUUAUGGGGUACUGCUUUUU